rnacentral:rRNA from 1 species
UACAGAGGUCCCAAGCGUUGUUCGGAUUCAUUGGGCGUAAAGGGUGCGUAGGCGGCGCGGUAAGUCGGGUGUGAAAUCUCGGAGCUUGACUCCGAAACUGCAUUCGAUACUGCCGUGCUUGAGGACUGGAGAGGAGACUGGAAUUUACGGUGUAGCGGUGAAAUGCGUAGAUAUCGUAAGGAAGACCAGUGGCGAAGGCGGGUCUCUGGACAGUUCCUGACGCUGAGGCACGAAGGCCAGGGGAGCAAACGGG